rnacentral:rRNA from 1 species
CUAGCUGUAAACGAUGUAGACUUGGUGUCGGUGGGGUAAAAGCCAUCGGUGCCGAAGCUAACGCGAUAAGUCUACCGCCUGGGGACUACGGCCGCAAGGUUAAAACUCAAAGGAAUUGACGGGGGCCCGCACAAGCAGCGGAGCGUGUGGUUUAAUUCGAUGCUACGCGAAGAACCUUACCCGGGUUUGACAUACAGGUGGUAGGGAAUUGAAAGAGGACCGACCCUUCGGGGAGCCUGAACAGGUGCUGCAUGGCUGUCGUCAGCUCGUGUCGUGAGGUGUCCGGUUAAGUCCGGUAACGAGCGCAACCCCUGCCGUAUGUUACAAGUGUCAUACGGGACUGCCGGUAUCAAGCCG